UAGUAAUAACACAGGAAGAGAGACAAUGCUUUGCAAAGGUACAGUAGUAAUAACACAGGAAGAGAGACAAUGCUUUGCAAAGGUACAGUAGUAAUAACACAGCAAGAGAGACAAUGCUUUGCAAAGGUACAGUAGUAAUAACACAGGAAGAGAGACAAUACUUUGCAAAGGUACAGUAGUAAUAACACAGCAAGAGAGACAAUGCUUUGCAAAGGUACAGCAGUAAUAACACAGCAAGAGAGACAAUGCUUUGCAAAGGUACAGUAGUAAUAACACAGGAAGAGAGACAAUGCUUUGCUAAGGUACAGCAGUAAUAACACAGGAAGAGAGACAAUGCUUUGCAAAGGUACAGUAGUAAUAACACAGGAAGAGAGACAAUGCUUUGCAAAGGUACAAUAGUAAUAACACAGGAAGAGAGACAAUACUUUGCAAAGGUACCGUAGUAAUAACACAGGAAGAGAGACAAUACUUUGCAAAGGUACAGUAGUAAUAACACAGGAAGAGAGACAAUGCUUUGCAAAGGUACAAUAGUAAUAACACAGGAAGAGAGACAAUGCUUUGCAAAGGUACAGCAGUAAUAACACAGGAAGAGAGACAAUGCUUUGCAAAGGUACAAUAGUAAUAACACAGGAAGAGAGACAAUGCUUUGCAAAGGUACAGUAGUAAUAACACAGGAAGAGAGACAAUGCUUUGCAAAGGUACAAUAG